GGAAAACACAGACGGGAGGAUUGGAAGGCUCUGGCUAUGCUAAGUAUUGAGAGUGGAGGUUAGGAGUUGGAAGUGAGGGAGGGGAAAUGAGAAUUCUGGUCUGGGGGAUACAGUGUUUCUAGGGGAGGGUGUGGGGCAGAGAGAAGGGAAGGGAUGUGGUGAUGGGAGGGAAGGAGGCGCAGAGGGAAUGACAGGUUCAGCUCUGGUGCGUUUAAGGAGCUUGCGGGACAUGCAGGUGGACAAGCCCUAAGGGGAGUUCUGAACGCAGGUCUGAGAUCAGGAAAACCUACCUCGAAACAUGCCACCUUGCAAACCAGAUGGUGAUGGAAGCCAGGGGCGUGAGGCGCCAGUGAGUCUAUGCCUAAAGGAAUGUCUAAUGCCCUAACUGCUGGAUCUGCACCCCAGGCACUGUCACUGUCUUAAUCUUUUUAAAGCACAUCUUGGACCCAGUUACCCCACUGAUGUACACAAGCUGCGGUGGCUUUUUUUAACGCAGACGCAAAGAUUUCUUUCCAGGUCCUUUAGGACCUGGCCUCACCUUGCUCUUCUAGAAUUAUUUCCUCUACAUGCACAUAUCCCUAUGUUUCUUACGUAUUCAACCAUCCUUUCUCAACUGUUUUAAUUCUCAUGCUCAUUCUCCUCUGUCUACUUAGAAUGCUCUUCCAACUCUUCCUGCUGAAAUGAUAUCUAUUCUUCCGAGGAUCAAAUGAAAUAUUUCCUGAUCCCCCUGAUGCAUGAUCUGUUGGGUUCCUAGACCUCUUAGUUUCAAUGGUACUAAUACUUCUGCUCUGUGAUACUCCGUCACAUACCUUGUGACCCACCCCGCCCCCGGAACUCCCACACUGUGUGGCUCAAGGAAUGCCGAGAGAAAGUAGGUCAGAUUUUGUAUUUGAAUUUCAAAAGUUGAGGAUGUGGAGUUGUAAGAACCCGAACUUAUUUAUUUUGUUUUGUUUUUUAUGGCCGCACCCACAGCAUAUAGAAGUUCCCAGGCCAGGGAUGGAAUCUGAGCCACAGCUACUACCUUCGCCACAGCUAUGGAAAUGCUGCAUCCUAAUCCACUGCGCCAGGCCAGGGAUUGAACCUGUGUCUCUGCAGCGACCUGAGCCGAUGCAGUUGCAUUCUUAACCUACUGUGCCACAGUGGGACUCCAUAAACCUGGACUUUUGAGUUUGCCUUUUAUAGGAUAUGUACUAGAGUUGGAAGAUUAGGUUAAGCGCCAGGCUUCCUUACCCCCAGAUUAGAUGAAGAUUCCCCAGAUUGAGGGGAGGGAAAGUUAGAGGGAAGUUGAUGAGGGAGAGAGGUUUAUGGGGUUUGGGAUGAGACCAGGCUUGGAGAGAGCACUCAAACAGAAGAGGACCCAGUCUCCAGGGGUCAGGCAGGCCCUGCUCUGGUGGGCACAGGUGCAGACCACUCAGUCUCCAUCCCAGCCGGUUGCAUAGUAGGGCAUCGUGGUGCUGAGGAGCCUCAUCAGCUGUCCUUCCGGUUGGACCACCACUUCCUGUGGACCAUCCAUCAGGAGCCAUUCCUGUCCGUGCCCAGGGGCUGUGUAUAGUCCCUGUCUGGCUUGCACCUGUGGACCACUCUCUUUCCCACUGCCUGGGACUCUCUGAAGCCCCAGGAUAAAGGGUGGCAUCCUGGACCUCCAGAGGAUGGCUGGUGAACUUCCCUUCACCGUAUCGAUACUUCUGUGGCAUUACAUGGAAGCAGCUCGGAGUUCUCUCUUGCAGAAAGAGAUAUACUGCUGUAACAUAUUGACAUCACAUGAUAAUCUCUCUUGCGUUUAUGAAUCUUCCUUACCUGGGUAUCUUCUGCUUGCCUCUCCAGAUGUACUCUCUGCUCUUCCUCACUCUGCUCUCUUCCCCAGAGGCAGCUCAGUGUAGGCUCUGGGCCUUUGGACGUCCUGUUGGGUUCAGCCAAUGGAAAGCCCUGGCUGGGAGGGUGGGAUUUGUGCUCUCAAGGGAACACUUCCUGAACUCUUCUCUCCUGAGGUCCUGUAACCUCUUAUUCUUCUUGUUCCUUCCUUAUAGGGGUGUAGUAGUUUCUUUGUCACACAUUAGUCUCUGUUUCCCUAUGCCCUGCCUAUAUCUUCAUAACUAGUACCUUGGUUAAGCUUCUUCUUUUUUUUUUUUUUUUUUGUCUUUUUUGCCAUUUCUUGGGCUGCUCCCACAGCAUAUGGAGGUUCCUAAGCUAGGGGUCCAAUUGGAGCUAUAGCCACCGGCCUAUGCCACAGCCACAGCAACACGGGAUCGGAGCCACGUUUGCAACCUACCCCACAGCUCACGGCAACACCGGAUCCUUAACCCACUGAGCAAGGCCAGGGAUUGAAGCUGCAACCUCGUGGUUCCUAGUCGGAUUCGUUAACCACUGAGCCACGACGGGAACUCCACUAGUGCCUUAGUUAAGCCUCUUUGAAUUAUCCUAAUUUGGUUGUGACUCUGUUUUCUGCUGGAACACUCUUGCUGAUUAUAUUUUCCAAAGAUGGUUAAAAUGACAUUUCCUGUCUCACCUGCUCUUCUUAUCUUAUAAUGUGACUUUGAGAAAUCUCCUUUGAGAGGAAGUGACACUGUAACUUCUGAACUGAUCAUAAAAGAUGAUACAGCUUCUGCCCCAGUCUCCUGGGACACUUACCUUUGGAGCCCUGAGUCGUCAUGUAAACAGUUUAGCCUCAGGCUGCCAUGCUGUGAGGAAGCCCAAGCCGGCCCACCCACCAAGAGAAUGUGAGGCAAGAUGCCUGGCCAGCCCAAAGCUGCUUCAGCAGCCCCUAUCUGGGUAUGACUGCAAGAGAGCCCUGUGCCAGAAUUGCACAGCUAAGCCCUUCCUGAAUUUCUGUCUCAUAGAUACUGUGAAAGAUGCUAAAGUGAUUGCUGUUUCAAGCUGCUAAAAUGGGAGUGAAUUGUUAAGCAGCAAUCGAUGACUAGGGCAGACCCCGAAGGAUAUGUCACAUAAACAGCUCUCCCUUUUGAGCUGCGAGUUUCCUGAGGGUGAAGGGAUCCAUGGCUUAUCAUCUUCCCUAGAGCAGCUAUCACACAACAGUCCAUUCAUAAAUAUUUGUGAAUGGCUCCAAAGGAUGUGGCUGAUUUGCGUUUUGGUCCUCAAAGGCAGAUUUGCGUGUUCUGCUCACUUGGGAAAUAAGAAAUGGAGACCAUUGCAUUGUUGACCUCUUAAAGGCAGACUGUGGGUUCUGCUUCUUUUACU
rnacentral:lncRNA from 1 species